GGGAGGGAAGGGACUAGUGGCAGAGUGAGGGAGGGAAGGGGUGACUAGUGACAGAGUGAGGGGAUGACUGGUGACAGAGUGAGGGGGGGUGACUGUCACUAGUCACCCCAUCCCUCUCUCUGUCACUAGUUACUCCCUCCCUAACUCUGUCACUGUGUCACCCGCUCCCUCCCUCUGUCACUAGUCACCCCCUCCCUCACUCUGUCACUAAUCACCCCCUCUCUCCC